rnacentral:rRNA from 1 species
UCCUUGAAAUACCACCCUUUAAUGGCUGGUGUUCUAACGUAGACCCGUGAUCCGGGUUGCGGACAGUGUCUGGUGGGUAGUUUGACUGGGGCGGUCUCCUCCCAAAGAGUAACGGAGGAGCACGAAGGUUAGCUAAUCCUGGUCGGACAUCAGGAGGUUAGUGCAAUGGCAUAAGCUAGCUUGACUGCGAGAGUGACGGCUCGAGCAGGUGCGAAAGCAGGUCAUAGUGAUCCGGUGGUUCUGAAUGGAAGGGCCAUCGCUCAACGGAUAAAAGGUACUCCGGGGAUAACAGGCUGAUA